rnacentral:tRNA from 1 species
GGGGUUGUAGCUUAGCAGUAGGGCACUUGCCUAGCAUGCAUAAGUCCCUGAGUUCCAUUCCCAGUAGUGCCC